UCAGUAUUUUACAAGUACGCAGGUUUUACGCAGUAGUAAACUAUGGCUCCUCAGUACGCACCAAGUCUACGCUCUCGACUAUUUCCUCUGCUCAUAUGCUUGCAGACGAGUUUCAUUGUAAUAUUCCUUUUUUGUGUAAAGUAUGACCACCACAUAUCGGAUGAUAAGUUACUUUACGCGGAGUUUCAGGAUGUCAAUGUGAUGGUGGUUCUUGGGUUUGGCUUCCUAGCCACAUUCUUGUCAAGGUACAGCUUCAGUGGCUCUGGUUUCAACCUCUUGGUGGCAGCCAUGGCGGUCCAGUGGGCACUCAUCUUAAAUGGAUUAGAAUCUUGGUAUCACAGAGGACAGAUAAUAAUAAACCUCAGAAGCCUGGUGAUUGCUGAGAUGUGUGCAGCAUCAGCCCUCAUUUCCAUUGGUGCUGUACUUGGGAAAACCAACCCUGUCCAUCUUCUCCUCAUCGCCCUUAUUGAGGUCUCAGGGUUUGUGCUGAAUGGCUGGAUCCUCCAGACCUACCUGAGGGUGAAGCCUCUGUAUUGUACCAUGCUGCUUCACAUCUUUGGUGCUUUCUUUGGACUGAUGAUGUCAUGGGUCCUCUACAGUGAGGAUUCAGAGCAACAACACGAGAAAGAGAAAAUCCAUCGCAGGACAGGACUGUUCUCCUUGCUUGGGACUCUGUUCUUGUGGAUGUUCUGGCCCAGUUUCAACUCGGUCCUGGUAGAUCCCAAUGACCAUCAGAGGAAGUUGACAGCAGUCUACAGUACCUACCUAGCCCUGUCCGUUAGUGCUGUGACCGCUGCUGGGGUUUCAGUUCUUUCCAGCCCCACAGGGAAAUUCAACUUGGUACACGUCCAGAGCUCAUCUCUUGCUGGUGGGGUAGCUGUUGGGGUUUCCAUGUCAGCUGUCCGUGAGCCGUGGGUAGCCAUGACGAUUGGAUUGGCUGCUGCAAUGAUAUCGACAUUAGGAUUGAGAUACAUUCGGCCCCACCUGCUGUCUGCUUUUAAAUGCCACGAUACCUGUGGUGUCCUCAGUGUCCAUGGGCUGCCAGGCAUCUUGGGAUGGCUGGCACAUCUACUCCUUCAGCUUGCUGACUCUGAUGACCUCACAACGGCUAUUCGUUGUGCAGUGUUUAACAUUUGCACUCUUAAUGUCACGCUGAGUCUCAGUAUGGCACUGGGGGUCAUAGCAGGUAAGUCUGCAUCACAAGAUGGUUCCUCUUACUGGACAUUUAACUGUGCCUCCAUCACAUUGCUACUGUUGGUCCAUGCUUAUGUUACUGUGGUAACAAAUACAAUUCACAAACUGUAUUUUAAUCUUAAGGAAUGCUUUUGAAGUGGAAUUUUUGGAGGCCACCCCAAGAAAAAAAGUUUUUUGACGACCAGGCCUUCUGGGAGUUUCCCCACCUUGCAGUGCACAAGUGAGAAGUUUAUGGAGAAAGACAUGGAUAUUUGGAAAGGAAUGAUUGAAGGUCCAACAUAAUGUAUGUUGUGUGUCAUGUGAGUUAAGCCAAGAACAUGAUGGGAGAGCAGUGAAUAAAGACACUUUGAUUAUCUGUACAUGUUUUGUUUAAUGCAUGUUUCAGUUUGAUAAAGUGACCUCAUAGUUUGGUUAUUACACAGGUAAAUGCAUAACAUGCACUGCAGUCAGUUAAAUAUUUGCUGUGAAACUUUCUUCUUAGUCACAGACAUAGUCCUUAGACAUCGUCUCUUGCUCUCAUUUCAGUAGCAUGACUUUUCAUCCAUAAGCAUUCCAUUUAUUAAACCUGGUAUGAAUGCAAUUAGGCCUGUCCUCCCAAGAAAAAAAAACACAAAUCGCCAUCAUAUAUUUUUUUACAAUCUUUUAAGUAAAUGUAAAAGUACAAAACACAGUA